GACGAACGCUGGCGGCGUGCCUAAUACAUGCAAGUCGAACGCAGUGGGGACGGGUGAUUAACACGUUGGUAACCUCCCAUCAGAGGGGAUAACACUUGGAAACAGGUGCUAAACCGAUACUGAUGGAUGGACCCGCGGUGCAUUAGCUUGUAGGUAAGGUAACGGCUUACCUAGGCGACGAUCUCUAGCUGGUCUGAGAGGAGGAUCAGCAACACUGGGACUGAGACACGGCCCAGACUCCUACGGGAGGCAGCAGGAGGUAAUCUUCGGCAAUGGACGAAAGUCUGACCGAGCAACGCCGCGUGAGUGAAGAAGGUUUUCGGAUCGUAAAACUCUGUUGUUAGAGAAGCGGUAUCUAACCAGAAAGCCACGGCUAACUACGUGCCAGCAGCCGCGGUAAUAC
rnacentral:rRNA from 1 species